GCUUCCAUAGCUUAACGGAUAAAGUACUGGUCUUCGGAACCAGUGAUGGGGGUUCGAUUCCUCCUGGGAGCACCC
rnacentral:tRNA from 1 species